UAGUGCUCCUCUCCAAGCUCGGGGGUUGUUGAAUCCGAUCUGAAACCCAGAUCCAAAUUCCAAUCUUGCCUGCAACUUAUAAAAUGAGACAGAGAAGAUGCUCGACUGCAAAUCCGCGUCGGACUUGACCAAAAUCAAGGCCUCCAACAAUUAAUUUCAUACUGUGUUCAAGCUGAAUCGGUAAUUUUGAAUUAAAAACCUUUGUAGGUUCAGGUUGUUCUGGGCCGUUUCAAUUUGCAGAGGUUCAUAUCAUCUGUGAAGAAUAGUGGGACGAAGGAGGCGUAAUCAGAGUUUCAGAGAGAGGUUUGUUGAUGCACAAAAUCUGCGAAGACUUUGGUUAAUUUCCACGACUAAUGGAGAAGUGAGAAGAGAGAGAGAAACAGGGAGAAGAGAUUAAUCGAUAGUCCAAGCUAAUCCUCUACUUCAACAGGGGACUGUCUAAGGCCAGUUAAGGAGGUC
rnacentral:sRNA from 1 species